rnacentral:rRNA from 1 species
GACGAACGCUGGCGGCGUGCUUAACACAUGCAAGUCGAACGAAGUGGCGAACGGGUGAGUAAUACGUGAGUAACCUGCUCUACUUUUUGGGAUAAGCCUUGGACACGGGGUCUAAUACCAAAUAACGGGGGAUGGGCUCGCGGCCGAUCAGCUUGUUGGUGGGGUGAUGGCCUACCAAUGCGGUGACGGGUAGCCGGCCUGAGAGGUUGACCGGCCACAUUGUGACGGAGAUAUGGUGCAGAUGCGUACGGGAGGAAGCAGGGGGGGAUAUUGCACAAUGAGCGAGAACCUGAUGCAGCGUCGCCGCGUGGGGGAUGAAGGCUGUCGGAUUGUAAACCUCUAUCGCUAUCGAACGGGUAGGUGCAGAAGAAGCGCCGGCUAACUACGUGCCAGCGUACGCGGUAAUUC